AGGAGCUCCCCGAGCAAUGAUGCAAGAACUGCAGGUGUCUCUGGGAUUUGUAAUACACAGUUGCAGCCAGUUGAUGUCAUUGCCUACCCUGAAGAUAACAGCAUCAUUGCAGCAAGUCGGCUUCAGUUACCAGUAGGCAUCAAGUCAUGUUAGAACCAACAGCUGACAAGGUUUCCAUCUCCCCUACCUCCCCUUGAAACCAAAUCAUCCA